rnacentral:rRNA from 1 species
CGCAGCCGCGGGAAUACGGAGGGGGCUAGCGUUGUUCGGAUUAACUGGGCGUAAAGGGCGCGUAGGCGGGUUUUUAAGUCAGAGGUGAAAUCCCAAGGCUCAACCUUGGAACUGCCUUUGAUACUGGAAGUCUUGAGUCCGGGAGAGGUGAGUGGAACUGCGGGUGUAGAGGUGAAAUUCGUAGAUAUUCGCAAGAACACCAGUGGCGAAGGCGGCUCACUGGCCCGGUACUGACGCUGAGGCGCGAAAGCGUGGGGAGCAAACAGGAUUAGAUACCCGCGUAGUCCCUGUCUCUUAUACA